rnacentral:lncRNA from 1 species
UGGUGCGAUACCAGCUCACUGCAGCUUCCACCUCCCAGGUUCAAGCAAUUCUCCUGCCUCAGCCUCUGGAGUAGCUGGGAUUACAGGCGCCUGCCACCACACCCAGCCAAUUUUUUUGUGUUUUUAGUAGGAACAAGGUUUCACCAUAUACUUCCAUCAGCAGUUAAUGAAACUUCCAUUUGACCACACCUUCCCUAACACUGGUGUUAUCAGUCUUAAAUUUUAGCCAUUGUAGUGGGUAUGUCUUUCUGGUUUUAAUUGUAAUUCCUGAUGAUUAAUGAUAUUGAGCACUUUUUCACUGCUUAUUGGCCAUACUUUUUUGUGUGUCAGUUCACUCGGACUAGCUGGAAUUUAAAUGUCUUGCAGCCCUGUGACAACUCUGGGAAUUGUUUAGCUUACAGUUGUUCUUUUUUCCUUUAGUUAUUCUUUGCCCAUCCUCAAGGAAUCUUACCCUACACAGGUGCUGUUUAGAAUUCAGGCUGAGGCUGAAGGGGAGACCUCCUUGCAUAUUUCUGGAACUCUACUUGUUCCUAGUGUCCAUCUUUUUUUUUUUUUUUUUUUUUUUUUUGAGACAGAGUCUUGCUCUGUUGCCCAGGCUAGAGUGCUGUGGUGCCAUCUUGGCUCAUUGCAACCUCCACCUCCCGGGUUCAAGCGAUUCUCCUGCCUCAGCCUCCCAAGUAGCUGGGAUUACAGGCACACGCCACCACACCCGGCUAAUUUUUGUAUUUUUCAGUAGAGACGGGGUUUCAUCAUCUUGGCCAGGCUGGUCUCGAACUCCUGACCUCGUGAUCCACCGGCCUCGGCCUUCCAAAGUGCUGGGAUUACAGGUGUGAGCCACUGUGCCCAGCCCAUAGUAUCCAUCUUUCUGGUACCUUU